rnacentral:rRNA from 1 species
GAACGGGUGUAGCAAUACAUCAGUGGCAGACGGGUGAGUAACACGUGGGAACCUUCCUCGUUGUACGGAACAACUCAGGGAAACUUGAGCUAAUACCGUAUACGUCCGAGAGGAGAAAGAUUUAUCGCAAUGAGACGGGCCCGCGUCGGAUUAGCUAGUUGGUGGGGUAACGGCCUACCAAGGCGACGAUCCGUAGCUGAUCUGAGAGGAUGAUCAGCCACACUGGGACUGAGACACGGCCCAGACUCCUACGGGAGGCAGCAGUGGGGAAUGCUUGGACAAUGGGCGCAAGCCUGAUCCAGCCAUGCCGCGUGAGUGAAGAAGGCCUUCGGGUUGUAAAGCUCUUUUGUUCAGGGACGAUAAUGACGGUACCUGAAGAAUAGAGCCCCGGCAAACUUCGUGCCAGCAGCCGCGGUAAUACGAAGGGGGCUAGCGUUGUUCGGAAUUACUGGGCGUAAAGCGCACGUAGGCUGAUAGUUAAGUGAGGGGUGAAAUCCCGAGGCUCAACCUCGGAACUGCCCUUCAUACUGGCUAUCUCGAGUCCGGAAGAGGUUAGUGGAAUUCCCAGUGUAGAGGUGAGAUUCGUAGAUAUUGGGAAGAACACCAGUGGCGAAGGCGGCUAACUGGUCCGGUACUGACGCUGAGGUGCGAAAGCGUGGGGAGCAAACA